rnacentral:misc_RNA from 1 species
GCCACUCCACGCUGGCCACCCCGGAUAUCGGACAGGCUAGCUGCCAUCAUCUUAUUUAUUAGAACAACAUUCCUUUUUAUGUAUACUGACAAUUAUAUCAUAGUAUGGCUAGUGAUGUUUUUCCCCAAAGAUUUUUAUAUAUUUACUAUGGUUUAUAGAAGGAUUAUUUUGUGUUUUAGCAGGCUCCAUGUCUGGGCGACUUUUCUGCAUUUUUUGUAGUUGAUCAACAACAAUGUACAAACCAGAAACCAUUGCUUGUCAUAUUGAAUAUUAUUAUCACCUCACUCCAUAUUGACCUCAUCCUACUAUGCACACGCAGGCUUCAUUCAGUAUGUAUGAACAAUGAUGUACAGCAUUCCACUCAGUGGUCUGACAACUCACAGCAAUAGGGGAGGUGUGUGCCAAGCACGCACCUUAUUUUUGUACUCGAGUUGUUGUCUGCCUCACUCCCCUCUACAUCUUCUCAUCAGGUGGGCAUUAUUUGACCUGUGGGAUAUUGAGAGGUUGACCGCCGGCAUUAUAUCACCCCCUCCACAAAACAGUCAGCCGAUGUGAUGGUAUUAAGAAAGACCGACUUCUGUGCAUAUUUCACAAUAACUAUGGCUGAUGUAUGUUCAUCCUCAUGUAAUAGCAGGCACGUAGAUAACCAUGUAUAUGUGUUAAUUCCAGGUUGUCAUCUCAUCUUAUCUAAAAUCAAAGCAGAAUCAAUGUAUCACGGCGUAUCAUUUUUUACAAUAUACAAAAAUAAAAAUUUUAUAUGACAAC